AAGGGGACAAUUCAAAGGUAUUUGUCUGCUUUGUUGCCAACAGGGGGGUGUGAUUUCCUGUGUACUAUAAUCUGCUGUUGCCCUAAGAUUUACAGUGAUAGGAUGGAGGGGGGUUUAACUGCUGCUGCCAGAGGUAGUUAAAUAGCCUUGUCUGCCUGUGACUGCUUCUGAUAAUGUGAUGUGCAUUGUGUUUGAUGACUCAUUUGGUCACGUUAUUCCCUUGUGAUCAUUCCCAAAAAUUGGUCUCUGUUUGCUGUAAACUUCUUUGUUGGUUGUGCAGGAGGGUCCCAACUUUUCAGAAUAUGGAGUCUGCAGUAGGGGCUUCUGAAAAAGGACCUAAAACUGUGUUCUUUUGGGCUCCAAUAACGAAAUGGGGGUUGGUGAUUGCUGGGCUUGCAGACAUGACCAGACCAGCUGAGAAACUUAGCACAGGACAGUCUGCUGUUCUAACUGCCACGGGACUCAUUUGGUCACGUUAUUCCCUUGUGAUCAUUCCCAAAAAUUGGUCUCUGUUUGCUGUAAACUUCUUUGUUGGUUGUGCAGGGGGGUCCCAACUUUUCAGAAUAUGGAGAGAAAAAGGAAGUCGUUUUUAAAACGGAGCCUACAGGAGAUGGCCUUCCCGUAAUUUGGAGCUUUCUGGAUAACGGGUUUCCAGAUGAAGGAUCCCAUACCUACAACGUACUACAUAUGGUACAAUCAGGAACUUAAAGCUGAUGUGCAGCAAGAAGUAAAACCUUGAAGCAUUCAUUAUCAUCUAUGGAAUAUUUUAAAGGGUGGAAUAGAAACAUAACUGUGGUAUUUUGCAUGAAAUAUAAACUUCACUUAAGAUCUAAAGGUCAUGGUAUUAGAAAAACGCACGUGUUUCUUAUGCUUUUGGUUGAAAUAUUUGUAGACUAACAAAUUAAUAAAGGAUGAAUUCAGAUUGCA